UACGUAGGGGGCUAGCGUUGUCCGGAAUCAUUGGGCGUAAAGCGCGUGUAGGCGGCCCGGCAAGUCCGCUGUGAAAGUCGGGGGCUCAACCCUCGGAUGCCGGUGGAUACUGUCGGGCUCGAGUACGGAAGAGGCGAGUGGAAUUCCUGGUGUAGCGGUGAAAUGCGCAGAUAUCAGGAGGAACACCGAUAGCGAAGGCAGCUCGCUGGGACGGUACUGACGCUGAGGUGCGAAAGCGUGGGGAGCGAACAGG
rnacentral:rRNA from 1 species